rnacentral:rRNA from 1 species
AUCCACCUGGGGAGUACGUCAGCAAUGAUGAAACUCAAAGGAAUUGACGGGGGCCCGCACAAGCGGAGGAACAUGUGGUUUAAUUCGAUGAUACGCGAGGAACCUUACCUGGGCUUAAAUGUAGAGUGCAUGAGGUGGAAACAUCUCUUUCCUUCGGGACCCUUUACAAGGUGCUGCAUGGUUGUCGUCAGCUCGUGCCGUGAGGUGUCGGGUUAAGUCCCAUAACGAGCGCAACCCUCAUCGCCAGUUGCCAUCACAUAAUGGUGGGGACUCUGGUGAAACUGCCGGUGCAAACCGUGAGGAAGGUGAGGAUGACGUCAAAUCAGCACGGCCCUUAUGUCCAGGGCUACACACGUGUUACAAUGGCUGGUACAACGGGCAGCUACCACGCGAGUGGAUGCUAAUCCCCAAAACCAGUCUUAGUUCGGAUCGGAGUCUGCAACCCGACUCCGUGAAGCUGGAUUCGCUAGUAAUCGCACAUCAGCCAUGGUGCGGUGAAUACGUUCCCGGGCCUUGUACACACCGCCCGUCAAGCCAUGGAAGCCGGGAGUGCCUGAAGUCCGUAACCGCAAGGAGCGGCCUAGGGUAAAACCGGUAACUGGGGCUAAGUCGUAACAAGGUAACCAAGGGCGAA